UACGUAGGGGGCAAGCGUUGUCCGGAAUCAUUGGGCGUAAAGCGCGUGUAGGCGGUUCGGUAAGUCUGCUGUGAAAGUCCAGGGCUCAACCCUGGGAUGCCGGUGGAUACUGUCGGACUAGAGUACGGAAGAGGCGAGUGGAAUUCCCGGUGUAGCGGUGAAAUGCGUAGAUAUCUGGAAGAACACCGGUGGCGAAGGCGGCCUUCUGGACGGUGACUGACGCUGAGACGCGAAAGCGUGGGGAGCAAACAGG
rnacentral:rRNA from 1 species